GGCUGAAGUAUUUAAAAUGUUUAAGAAUGUAUAAUUGUUGGUUUUUAACCAAAGCCAAAGAUAUUUGAAAACAAAGUGUGAUGUAUGAUAUGUCAGUCAGAGUCUCGGUGCUCAACUAUCAUGCAGUGUAUUAUUUGUAAAAAGUGUCGGUAGUCACAAUGGUGACAAUAACAUUUGUGUGGUUAAUCUGGUUGAAGCAGAGAAUUUAAUUGAUCUCCUGAUAAAAGACAUGUUUUCUUGGGGUUGUAGCAAAGGUCUUUCGUGAAUUCUAAGACAGCCCAGUUGCCAAUUGCAUUGAACCAAAGCUAUUAGAUAGGGUACAAUUACAGCUUUUUUUUCAAGAUAUUCUUACAGUAUAUACUAUAAGAUGCAACUGACAAAUGAAGUAUUUCAGAAAAAUAUUUACCCUAAAAUUAUUAGUGACUUGUACCGUGACUAAUAUUAUGUUACAGCUUUGGUUCAAAUUUCAUAAAUUAUGAACCGAUGUACAGUAACUGCAAAUGUAAACAAAUAGGUGAAUGCACACCCAGUAUACAGACUGUUAUUUGCCUUUAAGACUCCUAAGUCACAUAUCACUGAUAUAUUAACAUUCGUAGUAAAUUUGUUGUUUCAAGAUCACUGUAUAUUAUUUCUCAUGAUUCAGGAUUGGUACCCCCCCCCCCCCCCCCCCCCUCCAGACAAACAGAAAUAUAGAUGAUACAUCCCAAAAAAAUAAAUAUGAAAUUAACUCACACACACACACAAAGGUUUCAAGAUACUGUGUAUAAUUUCAUUCACAACUGUAUUGUUUAUUGUACUACAUACAUACGGAAACCAACCUGUCACUCGACCAGUUAAUUGUUUCAAAAUAUUCUGCUUUGAUAACUACAUGUUUAAUACACAUGAAGAAUUUCGUUUCCAUAGAUGUCCCC
rnacentral:lncRNA from 1 species